GCAUAUCAAUAAGCGGAGGAAAAGAAACCAACCGGGAUUGCCUUAGUAACGGCGAGUGAAGCGGCAAAAGCUCAAAUUUGAAAUCUGGUACCUUCGGUGCCCGAGUUGUAAUUUGGAGAGGGCAACUUUGGGGCCGUUCCUUGUCUAUGUUCCUUGGAACAGGACGUCAUAGAGGGUGAGAAUCCCGUGUGGCGAGGAGUGCGGUUCUUUGUAAAGUGCCUUCGAAGAGUCGAGUUGUUUGGGAAUGCAGCUCUAAGUGGGUGGUAAAUUCCAUCUAAAGCUAAAUAUUGGCGAGAGACCGAUAGCGAACAAGUACAGUGAUGGAAAGAUGAAAAGAACUUUGAAAAGAGAGUGAAAAAGUACGUGAAAUUGUUGAAAGGGAAGGGCAUUUGAUCAGACAUGGUGUUUUGUGCCCUCUGCUCCUUGUGGGUAGGGGAAUCUCGCAUUUCACUGGGCCAGCAUCAGUUUUGGUGGCAGGAUAAAUCCAUAGGAAUGUAGCUUGCCUCGGUAAGUAUUAUAGCCUGUGGGAAUACUGCCAGCUGGGACUGAGGACUGCGACGUAAGUCAAGGAUGCUGGCAUAAUGGUUAUAUGCCGCCCGUCUUGAACCACGGACCA
rnacentral:rRNA from 1 species